AAGGGGUCGAGGAGGGAGCUAGUGGGCGGCGUGGGGAGGAAGGGGUGGAGAUGGAAAGGGUCAGCAGCGAAGGGGGAGUCGAGGGCGAAGAAUGGGCAGGUGGAGGAAGCGGCGGGUGGGGAGAGGAAGGGGCAGGAGGAGGAGGACGGCGGUGGGAAGGGGAAGAAGGGGUCGUCGAGGAGGUGGGCGUAGCGGUGGUGAGAACUCAUGGUGGCCGGCGGCGGUGGAGCUCUCU
rnacentral:lncRNA from 1 species